UGUUGCCUAAGGAGUCUGGCCCCCUCAUAGUCUAUGAUAACAUCAGCCCCGGCAUGGGAACAGAGACUGGGUAGGAAAGCCUGCCCAAGAGGAGAAAAGGUUCCCUCUUUUCUCAUGAUGUGUGACUAGGCUGUGUUUACAAAGCUAGUAGGAAGUGGCCAACCUUCAGGUGGCUAGAAAAAACAAACAUAAUUAAAAACAUUCUUGGGCUAAUGGAGUUCCUCCUGGGUUAUUGGGGCAAGAAGAACCGGUUAUGCUUGUUUGCUUCACUUAGAUAGUUUAGAUAAACAUUGUAGUUUGUCACAAAGCUUGUCACAAAGAAUGCUAUUUCAAGAUAAUCGUCAGUGCACUGUGAGCUGACCCGGUUCACUAUAUAAAAGCCUAAAAAUAAAGCACAGCAUGCAGUUGCAAUUGCUGUUUUCUCUGCUCUGCAUCCCCCGUGUCCUGAUUUCGUGAGUGUGUGUGUGCCUCUUCCCAGGGUCCCGAGUGCACUAGACACUCACAACAAGUAACGCCCGAAACAGGGACCCCGACAGUCGCUUAGGAGAGGCCGUUACAUUUAAGAAUCAUUCCCUCUGGUGUUAAUCCUAGAGGAACUCAACCCAAUGAGUUAUGGCAAAUGGAUGUUACACAUGUGCCCUCUUUUGGCCAGCUUUCUUAUGUGCAUAACAUGGAAUUCAACAAUGGGUCCAUGGACGAUGGAUCAAGAUCCGUGCCUUGAGGCCCUCUUUGCCAAUCCCGGAGGCAACUCCCCGAGGAACCAUAUCCUCCAAGGCGAGCUCGAAACCAGCUAGAGGAUGAAGAUAAUGAACCUGUCCCUAUUGCCACCAUGGCCAGAUCACAGCUAAGAAAUUCCCGCUGCCAUUCACGGCGACCAAAUUUAAAUCCAAUCCCUACAUGGGGACAAUUUAAAAAGUUAACUCUGGAGGGACAAUGGCUUGUCCUUCAAGCAGGGAAGCCGUUAAACCCUGAAAAUUUGUUUUUAGCUUUAUGUGCCUUACUCACCAUUGCAUCGGGGACUGAGGUACCCCAACAUUCUUAUUGGGCUUAUAUUCCAAAUCCCCCUUUACUGGAACCUGUAGUGUGGGGAACUAUGGAUAUAUUACUAUAUACAACACCAAAAAAAAUUUUGUCAGCACCGUGGGCCGAUUUAACCCCCCAUAAUCAGGAUGAUGGAACAUUGUUCAACUUUACUUAUUAUGGCAAUCUAAAGCCCAUUUGUAUUGGGGAACCACCUUGCAUCCCUCUGUGAUGGCAGUAUUAGAUUCAACAUGGAAUAAAAGCAGGCAGCAAAAGGACAAGGCUUCAAGCUUUGGCUGCUCAAACUUUUAAUGUUACCUGGAAAAAUUUAAUAGCACCUGACAAAAACACAUAUCCUGUAUGCCCUGAUUUCACUUAUAAUAAUAUUUCUUAUAAUCCUAUAAUUUGGCAACAAUGUAUGGGGAAGUUUGCUAAAAAUAUUGAUGGAUAUAUUAUUUGGGGACCAUUUGGAAAAUUUGUUAAUGGAUGUGCUGAAUGGAAUGAGACAAGAUGUAAUCUCUCUGUCAUAUAUAGUCUUCCAGAUCUGAAGAACAUAACUAAUGGAGCUCCCGUCUUCCCUCAAAAGACACAUCUCCUGUGGUGGGGAGAUGGUGGAAUCACCAAUCCUGCUGUUGCUGCCAAAGAGUACCCUCAUAAUCUUCAAAAUCACAUUUGGAAGAUUCCAGCCGCUAUGCAACCUGUGACCUUGUACAAUGUUUCCUAUUCAGGAACUAGUCAAUCUGUAUUUACUACUUAUAAUUUUACUAAGUUUAUGAUAUAAAAUAUUACUGUUUGUGCA